rnacentral:rRNA from 1 species
ACUCCUACGGGAGGCAGCAGUAGGGAAUCUUCCGCAAUGGACGAAAGUCUUACGGAGCAACGCCGAGUGAAUGAAGAAGGUUUUCGGAUCGUAAAACUCUGUUGUUAGAGGAGAACAAGCAUGAGAGUAACUGUUCAUCCCUUGACGGUAUCCAACCAGAAAGCCAUGGCUAACUACGUGCCAGCAGCCGCGGUAAU